rnacentral:piRNA from 1 species
AAAGGAAGCAAAUUCACCAAAGAGGA